CCUCGGCCGCACGAUGGCGCGCUUUCCAAUGGUGGCCGAAGAUAAAUGCAAGGCUUGCUCUGUGGGGGAACUUGAAGCUGUGCAGGAGUAAUUUGUGUUGCUAUGUGCCGCUUCGGACCAAUGUUUGGAGAUACUAAACGAAGCUCUGCUGUCAGUGCCCAUGCGUCCUCUCCCUGCACGGAGCAGGACUCUGCUGUAGAAAGAUUGCCUUCUCCAGAAAAUGCCUUGUCUCCAUGGUAACAGGCCUAAGGCAGACCCAGACCAACUUCAGGGUAAACUCAUCCGCUCUUGUCCAACUUACCUAAUCCUGGACUGUACUGGAAAGGAAAAAGAUCCACUCAAUUAAUCAUUCUUGAAAUAUUAGUAAGGUUCUCUAUUAUGUCUCGUAGUUAUUUUAACAAUUAGAGUGCAUUCACAGGACCCAGAAUGCCAAAAAUAAUGGUGCUUGAAAAUUUGUCAUUUUAAAAGCUGUACAUUCUACUUUUUGGUGAUCACAAUGCAGGGGACUUUGCAUUCUCUUUAAAUGGUCCCUCCAGGAGGAAAACUUCAUUCAAAAGUUAGCUUUCCUUGAUCAUUAUGUCAGGGAUAUUUUUAUUCAAAAUUAAGGGUUCUUAAACUGGGCUGCACCUAUCCCGAACUGGUCAGAAAGGAGUCCUAAACCAGGACCAGAAUGCACCAGCUAUUCAGCCAGGUGCUGGGGCAGAGGGAUCUGUCCAGAGCGGGAGAUCUUUUUUCUCUGGAGGACACAGAGAUCGAAGCCUGUCUGUCUCAGGCUCUGGACCAGAUCAAGGCCAUCUCCUGCUCACAGGACUAUUUGACCAAUGACAAUGACCAGGCAGUGGUGGAGAUUUGCAUAACGCGCAUCACCACGGCCAUUAGGGAGACAGGCUCCAUCGAGCAACACAGCACAGCUCUGGUGGGACUGUGGGAGUCGUGUCUUGAACAUAACCUCACCCCGCAAGGUGAAAACACAGAGGACACACCGCAUGCCAAGAUAGCCUCUGACAUCACCAGCUGUAUCCUGCAGAACUACAGUUGUCCUUCGGUCAUGGUGCUGGCUGUCCCAGUAGCGGUGCGGUUCCUGCAGAGAGGGAACAGGGAGCUGAGCAGGAACAUGUCUAGUUAUCUCUCCCUGGCUGCCAUUGCCAAGGCUGAUCUGCUGGCUGAACACACAGAGGCCAUAACGCUCAGUGUCCUGGGAGGUAACCACAUGCUGUUACGAGUGUUGCCCUCAGUAUACCCCAGACAAUUGGAUACCAUCCACUCUCACUUGGGCAACCUCACUGCCAUGAUGUCACAGCUGGAAUCCCCAGAGCAACAACACCUGAUCAGACUCAUUCAAAUAGUUGCUGAGCAACAUCCACUUAUGUUAAGCCCUCAGGUGCCCACACUAGUCAGUUACCUAGGAGACCAAUCCCUAACUGAUGCCUUACUGGGUGCACUUGUGGACGUGUCUCAGGCCAGCCCUUCCUCACUGGUCAGCUUUCUGCCAACGCUGAGAACUGUGGGCCAAAAAUACCCUGCUCUCCUGGGUCACGUUGCCAAAAUCCAUGGGGCCGUGGGUAUCAUCAGUGAGACUCAUGCUCACAGCUCGUUGGUCUACCUGGUGUCCUGUCUGGGCAACAUGGAGCACAGCUUUCACCACACAUUGCUGCUGGAAAUCAGGGCUCUGGCCGAUCGUUACCCAUCUUUACUGGGAGGCUGCGGUAAAGACAUCUACAGGAUGAGCAACUCGUUUACUGCUAUAGCCCGACUGCUGGGGAGAAGACUGGAGGAGAACACAGCUAUCCAGUGCAGGGUGAACCAGUCAUGCCUGCAGUCUCCCUGUGCAUAUCUUCCGGGGGGAGGCGGGGGAGGUAGUGGGUCAGAGGAUCCGUUGCAGGUGAAGAUCCAGGCCUUCGAUGAGAAAAUGGUAGAGGAGGGGGAAGAAGAGGAGGUGGAGGAGGACUCUCCGGCCCCCCAGCGACGCUACAGCCUGAGCCAAGCCAUCAGGGAAGAGAGACGAGAAAUGAGAUUCAACAGGUCAAAGAGCCUGGCUCUCCACGCUGUGCGCUCACGCUCCAUCAACUCAGACACCGGGGAGGACGGUGAGGGAUUGGAGCCAAGCCCAGACCACAUCUCCUCCAACACAUUGGUGAAUUCACACUCAGAAAACCAGGAAGCACUGACUGCUGAGAUGAAAGUGACGGGUGACGGUGCGAUGCCCAUUACCGCUGCCCUGGACAAAGGGGUCAAAGAGGCUGAGAUAGAUCCAAGCAGAGAGAAGGAGGAGCAAGAGGACGCCGACAGACUCUUUAUCCAUUUAAGAGACAAUAUGGAGACGAUCACAGAGUUCUGUCGAGACAUGGUGCAGCAGAUCCCCGUACCAGAGCAAUGUGCAAUAGAAGAUUCAAAUCGAGGAUGUGUGGCCAAGCUGUCGUUCUCCUGUCCUCUUAAGGGCCACUACUGUCUGUACGCCAAGUCCUGCUUCAACCUGACCAGCCGACAGCCUCAUCUUUGGAUACACAUCAUGCUGCUACAUCUACAGAGUAAGUCCAGUGUUGCUCUGUGCUCCAGGGAUGAGUGUGUCCAGAAGCUUGCCUCCAUUUGGGAGAAGACACAGUUAAAAGGUGCUCACAGCUUCCUCAUGGCCAUGACACAGCACACCACCCCAAAUGGGAAGGACCUGGACAGUCUCCAGAUUCAGCUUGAGGAGGUGCGUUUCUUUGACCUGUUUGGCUACAGUGAGGAAGAGGGAGGUUGGCUCUGCUUCAUGUGUAACAACCCCGAGAAGGCCACAGUUGUGAACCAGGAGGGACAGCCUCUGAUUGAGGGGAAGCUGAAGGAAAAGCAGGUCCGCUGGAAGUUCAUCAAGCGCUGGAAAACCCGCUACUUCACCUUGGCAGGAAAUCAGCUACUCUUCCGAAGAGGCAAAUCAAAAGAUGAGCUGGAUGACAUCCCUAUUGAGCUGAGCAAGGUGCAAAGUGUCAAGGUGGUAACCAAGAAGCGGCGUGAUCGGGGCUUGCCGCGGGCAUUUGAGAUCUUUACGGACAGUAAAACGUACGUGUUGAAAGCUCAGGAUGAGAAACACGCUGAGGAGUGGCUGCAGUGCAUCAACGUUGCCGUGGCUCAGGCAAGAGAGAGGGAGAACAGAGAGGCAACCACCUACUUGUGAGAGCAACACAGUUAACUAAUGAGGACACAUACUGUACAUGCAUACAAACUCAUACACACACAAACAAGCAUACACUGAGUAAUAUUUUGUUUAUCUGUACAUAGAAUCACACAACAUCCACUGCCAGGUGCAUAACUUUGAAUCUGUAAUCAGUAUACACCUGACCUAUCAACGACAAAACAAAUUGUUUUGCAGGAUCUUUCUUUAAAUAAACCAGCAAUAAAAGACGUACUGUAUGUAUGGUGUGUAUCCAACCAGAAUGAAGGAUGUUACUGUUACUCACUGUCACACCAUGGAAUCUCUGAUGCAUCUACAGCUGUGGACCAUCAUAAAUGUAUGUUACAGUAUAUAAGAGUUAAAGGUUGAAGUGACACAUGAUCUUCACCCGACUGGAUCCAGUAUGGACAUUUCACCUUCUUCUGCUUGAGCCCAGACACUACUAUGAGCUUCAACAACCAAUGAAAGCCAGCAUCUGUGGAAACUUGGGAUUUGAUGAGUUUAAUGAUGCAUGAUAAUUGACAUGUAUUUGAGGCCAUAGUAGUAUUAAGCAAUAAAGACUUCACAGAAGCACAGACCUUAUAAGGACUUGAAGCAAUAAUGACACUGAACAGUUUUGCUUGGAAGGAUGAGGAAGAGGAGCCUAAUGGGCGGCAUUCAGUACUUAAAUAAUGUGUCCACCUGUGUAAGAGAGAGUAUGAUGUAGCCUUAAAGGAAUAGUUCAACAUUUUGGGAAACACGAUUCACUUUCUUGCCAAGGAUUAGAUGAGAAGAUUGAUACGACUCUUGUGGUCUGUACACUAAUUAUGAAGCUACAACCAGAAGACAAUUAGCUUAGCUUAGUCUCCUUAAUGUGUCAUUUAACAGGAUAUUGAGCUGGGGAGCAGAGAACCCUGGGAACAUAGACAUGUUUCCGCUGGUUGCCUGACAACCUAAUGCUGACAUAAAGACUUCAGGAAGUGGCUGCUGCCAACCAAGAACUAGUCUCUCAUAUAUUCCCCUGUAAUAUCACAACUUCUCGACCUUUAGACUAGGCCAAGCUUGAGGUUUGCCCGUUUCCAGCGUUUAUGCUUAGCUAUGCUAACCAGCAUGCUAUCUUCAUAUUUUCCGUAUAGAUAUGACAGCAAUAUUGAUCUUUGUAUCUAACUCUUGGCAAGAAAAGAAAAAAAGAAAAAAAAAAGCAUAAAAUGUGGAACUAUUCCUUCAGUAUACAUAUUGUUUUAAUGUGGAAUAUAUUGAAUCCAGUGUUUUAAAAUAAUUUGUAUAGGAUUCUUUUUUAAAUUUUUGAUUUAUACUUUAAUUUUCAUCCCAGACACAACUUUUUUAGUAGGAAGUGUUUUCUCCAACAUGUAAGAGCACCUUGUUUGAAGAAAACCCUAUUUUCUGUUUCUGCUUAUGAAGCAAGGCCCCUAAGAGUUAGUAACGUGGUCAGAUUUAAAAAAUUUUGCAAUCUCAAUGCUGUAUGGACCGGAAUAUUUUGGGCUUUCCGGAACAUUCAUUCAACCUUUCUGUACUUUCUGUGCCAUUGAGUCAGAACAACAACACAGAAAGUACAAUCAUAAGAAAUAUGGAAAGACAAUAAAACAUUCAGAAUUGGAAAAUGAUUUGAUACAUUUGGAUAAUAGGGAUGCAAAGGAAAAUACAAGAAACAUUUGCAACAAUUCACUCCAUGUUUUACAAGGAGCAGUGUCAGCUCAACUGUUUCUUAAUAGUGAAGUUUAGACCACUGGUUUCUAAGAAAACAUUUAAGUAAAUUAGUGUUGUGGAUUUAGAAACUGUGCCAGUUCAGUCAUAUUGAUUUAGUGAAAGGUUUUGUUAAGACAGCAAGAGAUUAAUUUCCAAAGGUUAAAGUUUUUAGAACGUGUGUGUUUUGUGGUCUGGGGUUUAAACUGUGAGAUUGAAUAAGGUGGAAGAGAGCCUCAAGCUGUUAACAUUUGAGCUCCAGUUUUUCCUCUGAUUUCAGAAGACUGAGACAGUCUCAGUUUUUAGAUCUUUAUAACUUUCCACCUGAAACAAUCCCAGCCUGUGGCUGUACAUACAUACUGUAUGUAUUCACUAUAACUCCCUUAUGCAACUCACCAACCAGGAUGCAGAUGACAAACAUGUCUUGACCUAGUUAAGUUCUGAACUGCCCGCACCACACAUUCACAGUCAGCCGUGGCAAAUUAAUUGUUAUGUUUGACUUUGAUCUUUAUAUGGAUCCAAACAAAGGCGUAAGUCUGCCCUCGUGUGGAAGCAUUGCUCUUUUCUUGCAAUUUUUGGAAUAUCUAAAAAAAGAAAAGACUAAGGUGGUCUAAAUUGUAACUCGCGUGACAGACAAGCACAUUUUCUUAACCCUUAACUUUUCAUCUAGCGCCACCAUCAGGAAGGCAUUUUUAUUUUAUUAUGACCAAAUACCUUUCUAUACAUUCACACUAGCCUCAGUUAAACUUUGUGUUUAGUACUUUAGUAAUAUUAUAUACUAUACUGUACUAUAUUAUAUAUUAUAUACUAAACACGUUAGCAUGCUGGCAUUUGCAUUUAGCUCGAAACAACCACGCUAGCGUAGACUCAUCUAGUUUGAUCUAUAGAACACAUGAAAAUUAGGAUAACCAUCGCUGUCCCUUUUACCGCUUAUCCACUAUCAUUUGUCCUAAAGCAAACAAGCUUAUGUGUCAGGUUCAGUGCAUCAGGACAUUUAGCUAUACAUAUAUAUUUUCUGGCAUUUCUCUUAUGGCAAACCCUACCUAUCUGGGAUAUUCAGCUAACUGGAACAAACAAAGGUAUUUCUGUCACACACACACACACAGACACACACACACACACAUAUUACUUGACCAUACUUGCUAGCAAGCAACUAGGACAGGGUGAUUGAUUUCCUGCCCCGGACAGUACAUAAAAAGUGGACAUGUCCAACAAAAAGAGGACGUUUGGUCACCCUAAACUAGGAACUCCACGGCCACUCAUAAGUGAAGUUGAGAAAGUCCUCCUCGCCCCGCUUUAAAUGUACCAUGAAGCUGACUUUACCCUUUUUAGCUGCACAGUGUUGAUUUAUUUGUUUUUCAGGUGAAUGUCUGAUAAUAUGAACGUCAAUGUUGUCUAGAAGUAUUAAUGUGAACGCUCUCAGCCAUCACACUGCCAUGUGGGCCUUGGGGGCCAGCAUUUACAGCCCAAAUGAGCAUUUGUUUAAUAGUACUUUACUCAAAUUAAAUACAUCUGUAGGCAGCUGUUUAAAUAUACUGGAAAAUAGAUACUCUAUCUAUCUAUCUAUCUAUCUAUCUAUCUAUCUAUCUAUCUAGCUAGCUAGCUAGGUAGAGCUAUGUCUACCUAUUGUUUCACACUGGACACUAGUGAGCUGUACGUCAUAUUCACAGGUCAGAAAGCAGAUGUCAGAAUGGAACCAAGGCUGUAGAUUUCAACAAUCGCACACACUGCAUAAUGUGAAGAUGCAUUCAUUAUAGUUAAUGCAUGAGUGUUUCUGAAUGUAAAAAAAAAUAGUUUUGAGGAUAAAUAGCAGCGUUGUGUAAUUAAUCCUAGAAAAGGCUUUUUUACUUUAGUUAUUAAAUUACAUUUGAUGUUAUGUUUGAUUAUGAUAUAAGGUCAAUAUUUAUUUUUACAAGUGCAAUUGUAACUUUUCAAUCAUGUCUGAUUAGAUUACUGAAACAAUGAAUGUCGCUUCUGUGUCUUCUCUUUCUUCUUCCAUUGCUUUUACAUUACCGUACUAGGAAAUACAGUAAUACUGCAAACAUAUGAGUGCUGCAAUUUAUAUAUUAGUUAAACUGAUGUUGUUAUGGAUUGUAAAUUUGCGUGUUGCACCUUUUGCAUGUCUGACACUGCCUUCUUCUACUGCCUUUUUCCAAACAGAAUUGUACAAUAAAUCUUUACCAGUGAAAUC